rnacentral:tRNA from 1 species
UGGUAUAGCUCAGCUGGUAGAGCAACGCAUUCGUAAUGCGUGGGUCGCAGGUUCAAAUCCUGUUACCA